UCUCUCGCGGACCACUCGGGACCCAUCGACGACGAUGCACACGUCCACGAUGAUUUCGGCGUUGCGUAACGUGGAGAAGAGGCCAACCCGGCCCGUUUGCGAUUACCCGCCCCCUGCUCGCUCGCCCGCUCUGCUCGAAACAACACCGGAGCCGGCACGGGCGGGCGGAUGUACGAUUGGCAUUGUAUCUAAUCUCCGCGGCUGCAACGCACGAGGAGUAAAUAUUCUGUAUCCCAGAAGGGGAUACUUUCGGUGCGUAUCGACGUAUCGGCUAUUAAUACCGUUCGUUCGGUUAGUGCUAUCCGCAGUCUCCGAUCGCUCGACAAUAAACCGCCCGUCCUCCCACUCGAAAAUAAUCCGGAAGGAUCUCUCCCGCGCGAAGAGUGAAGAUCACUGGGGUCGAAGAAGUCGAGAGGAGGAGACAUGCGGUUCCGAUCGCCGACGUUUCUGCUCCUCUGCGCCGUUUCGCUCGCGACGGCGCAGGAAAUCGGCGAGUGUCAAGAGGGUGCCGACGACGAAUUGCUCUGGGAAUAUGGCGUCAGGAGACCGCAUCGAAUCGGUGGUUAUCAAUAGGAGGUGGAAGAGGAUUACGGGCCGACGGACGCGAGGAUCACGUGCAUACGUUUCAACUCGCUGUCCGACGAGGAUAACGACGCGGCGUGGGUCACCGCCGGCGGAAUCGGCCACAACUUCGUCAAAGUCAAGUUCAG